UACGUAGGGGGCAAGCGUUGUCCGGAUUUAUUGGGCGUAAAGAGCGUGUAGGCGGUUUGGUAGGUCCGUUGUGAAAACUCGAGGCUCAACCUCGAGACGCCGAUGGAAACCAUCAGACUAGAGUCCGGAAGAGGAGAGUGGAAUUCCUGGUGUAAGCGGUGAAAUGCGCAGAUAUCAGGAAGAACACCCGUGGCUAAGGCGGCUCUCUAGUACGGUACUGAGCUA
rnacentral:rRNA from 1 species